GGCAUCGAGUGAGCGCAGUUUACUGAGUUCAUGUCGGCGAGCGGCGGACGGGUGAGUAAAGUCUGGGAAUCUGGCCGAAGGAGGGGGAUAACUGCUGGAAACGGCAGCUAAUACCGCAUGAAGUCGCGAGACCAAAGUGGGGGACCUUCGGGCCUCACGCCUUCGGAUGAGCCCAGAUGAGAUUAGCUGGUAGGUAAGGUAAAGGCUUACCUAGGCGACGAUCUCUAGCGGGUCUGAGAGGAUAGCCCGCCACACUGGAACUGAGACACGGUCCAGACUCCUACGGGAGGCAGCAGUGGGGAAUAUUGCACAAUGGGCGAAAGCCUGAUGCAGCCAUGCCACGUGUGUGAAGAAGGCCUUCGGGUUGUAAAGCACUUUCAGCGAGGAGGAAGCGAUAAAUGCCAAUACCA
rnacentral:rRNA from 1 species